AGCUCCGCCUCCCCAUUGCGCUGCUUUAAGUCCACGGGUAGCUGCUUGGUGUGACAUGAUGAUGUCACACCAAGAGCAAAGCCUGACCCUCCCCCUGCAAAUACUAACUGAGGAGGAGCGCACGCAAUAACUAGGAGGUGGAGAAGAGACAUCAGAGUUAGAGACCCACGUGUGACAGCUGCCUGUCCCUUAAGUGGAGAGGAGGCACUGCUUCAGCCUUUAUCAGGUGGGUUCCCUCCGUGACGCCGAGCUUCGUCGACCCGUGAUGACGUCACUUUUUCACUGAGCGUGGCGGGCGGACCUCUGGCACCAUGGACGGCUGAGGGGUAUUUAGGUGGGUUCCCUCCGUGACGCCGAGCUUCGUCGACCCGUGAUGACGUCACUUUUUCGCUGAGCGUGGCGGGCGGACCUCUGGCGCCAUGGACGGCUGAGGGGUAUUUAGGUAAGCUACUUAUUGUUAUUUGGUUAUCCUGAUGAAAAUGUUCUACUGGAAACAUUGAA